AGGCCUAACACAUGCAAGUCGAACGGUAACAGGAAGCAGCUUGCUGCUUCGCUGACGAGUGGCGGACGGGUGAGUAAUGUCUGGGAAACUGCCUGAUGGAGGGGGAUAACUACUGGAAACGGUGGCUAAUACCGCAUAACGUCGCAAGACCAAAGAGGGGGACCUUCGGGCCUCUUGCCAUCAGAUGUGCCCAGAUGGGAUUAGCUAGUUGGUGAGGUAACGGCUCACCAAGGCGACGAUCCCUAGCUGGUCUGAGAGGAUGACCAGCCACACUGGAACUGAGACACGGUCCAGACUCCUACGGGAGGCAGCAGUGGGGAAUAUUGCACAAUGGGCGCAAGCCUGAUGCAGCCAUGCCGCGUGUAUGAAGAAGGCCUUCGGGUUGUAAAGUACUUUCAGCGGGGAGGAAGGUGUUGUGGUUAAUAACCGCAGCAAUUGACGUUACCCGCAGAAGAAGCACCGGCUAACUCCGUGCCAGCAGCCGCGGUAAUACGGAGGGUGCAAGCGUUAAUCGGAAUUACUGGGCGUAAAGCGCACGCAGGCGGUCUGUCAAGUCGGAUGUGAAAUCCCCGGGCUCAACCUGGGAACUGCAUUCGAAACUGGCAGGCUUGAGUCUUGUAGAGGGGGGUAGAAUUCCAGGUGUAGCGGUGAAAUGCGUAGAGAUCUGGAGGAAUACCGGUGGCGAAGGCGGCCCCCUGGACAAAGACUGACGCUCAGGUGCGAAAGCGUGGGGAGCAAACAGGAUUAGAUACCCUGGUAGUCCACGCCGUAAACGAUGUCUACUUGGAGGUUGUGCCCUUGAGGCGUGGCUUCCGGAGCUAACGCGUUAAGUAGACCGCCUGGGGAGUACGGCCGCAAGGUUAAAACUCAAAUGAAUUGACGGGGGCCCGCACAAGCGGUGGAGCAUGUGGUUUAAUUCGAUGCAACGCGAAGAACCUUACCUGGUCUUGACAUCCACAGAACUUUCCAGAGAUGGAUUGGUGCCUUCGGGAACUGUGAGACAGGUGCUGCAUGGCUGUCGUCAGCUCGUGUUGUGAAAUGUUGGGUUAAGUCCCGCAACGAGCGCAACCCUUAUCCUUUGUUGCCAGCGGUUAGGCCGGGAACUCAAAGGAGACUGCCAGUGAUAAACUGGAGGAAGGUGGGGAUGACGUCAAGUCAUCAUGGCCCUUACGACCAGGGCUACACACGUGCUACAAUGGCGCAUACAAAGAGAAGCGACCUCGCGAGAGCAAGCGGACCUCAUAAAGUGCGUCGUAGUCCGGAUUGGAGUCUGCAACUCGACUCCAUGAAGUCGGAAUCGCUAGUAAUCGUGGAUCAGAAUGCCACGGUGAAUACGUUCCCGGGCCUUGUACACACCGCCCGUCACACCAUGGGAGUGGGUUGCAAAAGAAGUAGGUAGCUUAACCUUCGGGAGGGCGCUUACCACUUUGUGAUUCAUGACUGGGGUGAAGUCGUAACAAGGUAACCGUAGGGGAACCUGCGGUUGGAUCACCUCCUUACCUUAAAGAAGC
rnacentral:rRNA from 1 species